AGGAUAGCUGAAGUACGAUCCCUUGGUAAGGUGACACCUGCAGGUAUACAGCACUGCUCCCGUCUUCCUGUGAUACCCAAGCAGAAGUGACUCGGGAGGAGCUCUGCCUGCACUGAGUCACCGCUGCUCUCUACGUUUACCCUACAAAUCUGAAAGUCAAAUUCUGUCAAAAAUUUACCUAAUAAGUGGAAGUUUGAGCAUGUUCCCGCUUGAGUAGCGGGAGUUUCGUCAGUGCAGCAUCUACAUACUUAUUGCUGCAACCCAGUAAGGUAAUGUGAGGUUUCUAAGCAUUCUUACAGCCUUUAUUGUCCUCAGUUGGAAAAGGCAUGACUUUUGCCUUUAAAAAGAAGUAAAAAAACCCAACCAACCAAACUCAGGCUUUGUCAUGAGAAUAAAAAUAGUACUGUUUG